AUUGAACGCUGGCGGCAUGCCUUACACAUGCAAGUCGAACGGCAGCACGGGGCAACCUGGUGGCGAGUGGCGAACGGGUGAGUAAUGCAUCGGAACGUACCUUUCAGUGGGGGAUAACGUAGCGAAAGUUACGCUAAUACCGCAUACGCACUGAGGUGGAAAGCAGGGGAUCGCAAGACCUUGCGCUAUACGAGCGGCCGAUGUCAGAUUAGCUAGUUGGUAGGGUAAAGGCCUACCAAGGCGACGAUCUGUAGCGGGUCUGAGAGGAUGAUCCGCCACACUGGGACUGAGACACGGCCCAGACUCCUACGGGAGGCAGCAGUGGGGAAUUUUGGACAAUGGGCGAAAGCCUGAUCCAGCCAUGCCGCGUGAGUGAAGAAGGCCUUCGGGUUGUAAAGCUCUUUCGGCUGGGAAGAAAUCGCACAGGCUAAUACUCUGUGUGGAUGACGGUACCAGCACAAGAAGCACCGGCUAACUACGUGCCAGCAGCCGCCGCGG
rnacentral:rRNA from 1 species